CUCCUACGGGAGGCAGCAGUAGGGAAUCUUCCGCAAUGGGCGCAAGCCUGACGGAGCAACGCCGCGUGAGUGAGGAAGGCCUUCGGGUUGUAAAACUCAGUCACCUGGGAAGAGAGGUAUGGGGAGUGGAAUGCCCCAUACGAGACGGUACCAGGGGAGGAAGCCCCGGCUAACUACGUGCCAGCAGCCGCGGUAAUACGUAGGGGGCAAGCGUUGUCCGGAAUCACUGGGCGUAAAGCGUGCGUAGGCGGUCUUUCAAGUCCGGGGUGAAAACUCAAGGCUCAACCUUGAGAAUGCCUUGGAAACUGGGGGACUUGAGUACUGGAGAGGCAAGGGGAAUUCCACGUGUAGCGGUGAAAUGCGUAGAGAUGUGGAGGAAUACCAGUGGCGAAGGCGCCUUGCUGGACAGUGACUGACGCUGAGGCACGAAAGCGUGGGGAGCAAACAGGAUUAGAUACCCUGGUAGUCCACGCCGUAAACGAUGAGUGCUAGGUGUUGGGGGUUCAUCCCCUCAGUGCCGAAGGAAACCCAAUAAGCACUCCGCCUGGGGAGUACGGUCGCAAGACUGAAACUCAAAGGAAUUGACGGGGGCCCGCACAAGCAGUGGAGCAUGUGGUUUAAUUCGAAGCAACGCGAAGAACCUUACCAGGGCUUGACAUCCCUCUGACCGGUUCAGAGAUGGACCUUCCCUUCGGGGCAGAGGAGACAGGUGGUGCAUGGUUGUCGUCAGCUCGUGUCGUGAGAUGUUGGGUUAAGUCCCGCAACGAGCGCAACCCUUGACCUGUGUUACCAGCACGUAAUGGUGGGGACUCACAGGUGACUGCCGGCGUAAGUCGGAGGAAGGUGGGGAUGACGUCAAAUCAUCAUGCCCUUUAUGUCCUGGGCUACACACGUGCUACAAUGGGCGGUACAACGGGAAGCGAGACCGCGAGGUGGAGCGAAACCCAAAAAGCCGUUCGUAGUUCGGAUUGCAGGCUGCAACCCGCCUGCAUGAAGCCGGAAUUGCUAGUAAUCGCGGAUCAGCAUGCCGCGGUGAAUCCGUUCCCGGGCCUUGUACACACCGCCCGU
rnacentral:rRNA from 1 species